rnacentral:rRNA from 1 species
AUUGAACGCUGGCGGCAGGCCUAACACAUGCAAGUCGAACGAGUGGCGGACGGGUGAGUAAUGUCUGGGAAACUGCCUGAUGGAGGGGGAUAACUACUGGAAACGGUAGCUAAUACCGCAUACCAUCAGAUGUGCCCAGAUGGGAUUAGCUUGUUGGGGGGGUAACGGCUCACCAAGGCGACGAUCCCUAGCGGGUCUGAGAGGAUGACCGGCCACACGGGAACUGAGACACGGUCCAGACUCCUACGGGAGGCAGCAGUGGGGAAUAUUCCGCAAUGGGCGCAAGCCUGAUGCAGCCAUGCCGCGUGUAUGAAGAAGGCCUUCGGGUUGUAAAGUACUUUCGGCGGGGAGGCGUUACCCGAAGAAAAAGCCCCGGCUAACUCCGUGCCAGCAGCCGCGGUAAUAC